UAAUUUAUCAAAAACAUAUCCUAAUCUAGUUAUGGCAAAUCACAUCUGACUGCUCAGAUGGUAAGCAUGUCUAUAUCAUUUAUCUCCACAAAAACAUGUGCAUAUUGGUAGAGUAGCCUCUAGUUUUAUUA
rnacentral:pre_miRNA from 1 species